rnacentral:tRNA from 1 species
GCUCAAGUAGCUUAAACCAACCAAAGCAUUGGCCUUGUAAACCAAAAAUGGGUCUCCCACACCCCCUGAGCA